CAACCCUCAAAUUCAAUGGUCUUCUGAGUCUCAGCAAAGAGCUCCAUCAACUAAUGACAUCAGCAUGGGUGCAGAUGGGCGUGUGACAGUGACCAGUCAACUUCAAAUCACUCACAAAGAGUGGAGCACAGGGAAGGUCUUCACUUGUCAAGUAUCAGACAAGUCCCUGGGCAAAAACAUCAGAAAGAACAUCAGCCUCUGCUCGGUAACUCCAGCAUCAUCUCAGGUGGUUGGCAUAUAUGUUCAGGGACCACCACCACAGGAGCAUCAGUACAAGGGACAGGUGACUGUCACGUGUCUGCUGGUCGGCCCUUCUCUUGAUGAUUUCUCCGUCACCUGGAAAAUAUAUGGCAGAGGCCUGGUCGGAGGCCUGGUCGCAAAACAGGCCAAAGGUGAACCUUCAGAGAGGCCUUCAGAGUUAUGA